rnacentral:rRNA from 1 species
UACGAAGGGGGCUAGCGUUGUUCGGAAUUACUGGGCGUAAAGCGCGCGCAGGCGGUCUUCCAAGUCAGUGGUGAAAGCCCGGAGCUCAACUCCGGAACUGCCAUUGAAACUGUGAGACUGGAGUACGAGAGAGGUGAGUGGAAUUCCCAGUGUAGAGGUGAAAUUCGUAGAUAUUGGGAAGAACACCGGUGGCGAAGGCGGCUCACUGGCUCGUAACUGACGCUCAGGCGCGACAGCGUGGGAUCAAACAGG